CAGUAGCCGCGGGAAUACGAAGGGGGCUAGCGUUGCUCGGAAUUACUGGGCGUAAAGGGCGCGUAGGCGGACAGUUAAGUUGGGGGUGAAAGCCCGGGGCUCAACCUCGGAAUUGCCUUCAAUACUGGCUGUCUUGAGUAUGAGAGAGGUGUGUGGAACUCCGAGUGUAGAGGUGAAAUUCGUAGAUAUUCGGAAGAACACCAGUGGCGAAGGCGACACACUGGCUCAUUACUGACGCUGAGGCGCGAAAGCGAGGGGAGCAAACAGGAUUAGAUACCCCGGUAGUCCCUGUCUCUUAUAC
rnacentral:rRNA from 1 species